AUUGAACGCUGGCGGCAGGCCUAACACAUGCAACUCGAGCGGAGCGGCGGCCGGGUGAGGAACGCCUAGGAACCCGCCGGGUCGAGGGGGAUACGGUCCGGAAACGGGAGCUAAUCACGCAUACCAUCAGAGGAGCCUCGGUCGGAUUAGCUCGUUGGGGGGGUAAAGGCCUACCAAGGCGACGAUCCGUAACUGGUCUGAGAGGAUGCUCAGUCACACUGGAACUUGGACACGGUCCAGACUCCUACGGGAGGCAGCAGUGGGGAAUAUUGGACAAUGGGCGAAAUCCUGAUCCAGCCAUGCCGCGUGUGUGAAGAAGGUCUUCGGAUUGUAAAGCACUUUAAGUUGGGAGGCGUUACCAACAGAAUAAGCACCGGCUAACUUCGUGCCAGCAGCCGCGGUAAUUC
rnacentral:rRNA from 1 species